rnacentral:rRNA from 1 species
UACGGAGGGUGCAAGCGUUAUCCGGAUUCACUGGGUUUAAAGGGUGCGUAGGUUGAUAGGUAAGUCAGUGGUGAAAUACUCCGACUCAAUCGGAGAACUGCCGUUGAUACUAUCUAUCUUGAAUACGGUGGAGGCGGGCAGAAUGCGUCAUGUAGUGGUGAAAUACUUAGAUAUGACGCAGAAUACCCAUUGCGAAGGCAGCUCGCUACGCCGGCAUUGACACUGAGGCACGAAAGCGUGGGGGAUCAAACAGG